rnacentral:rRNA from 1 species
AGUGAACGCUGGCGGUAGGCCUAACACAUGCAAGUCGAACGGCAGCACAGUAAGAGCUUGCUCUUACGGGUGGCGAGUGGCGGACGGGGGAGGAAUACAUCGGAAUCUACUUUUUCGUGGGGGAUAACGUAGGGAAACUUACGCUAAUACCGCAUACGACCUACGGGUGAAAGCAGGGGAUCUUCGGACCUUGCGCGAUUGAAUGAGCCGAUGUCGGAUUAGCUAGUUGGCGGGGUAAAGGCCCACCAAGGCGACGAUCCGUAGCUGGUCUGAGAGGAUGAUCAGCCACACUGGAACUGAGACACGGUCCAGACUCCUACGGGAGGAAGCAGUGGGGACUAUUGCACAAUGCGCGCAAGCCUGAUCCAGCCAUACCGCGUGGGUGAAGAAGGCCUUCGGGUUGUAAAGCCCUUUUGUUGGGAAAGAAAAGCAGCAGGUUAAUACCCCGCUGUUCUGACGGUACCCAAAGAAUAAGCACCGGCUAACUUCGUG